UAUAUAUAUAACCCUAUUUUCUAUAACAAAAAGCACGAUGAUGGAAAAUUUUACAGAAGAGCAAAAAUUAAUCAGGAAAUUACAAUAAUUCGUUAAAAUAUUACCUCCUUACACUCUCGAAUCAUGUGAAGAACUCCGCCAUCUUCAUAACCAUCGGAAAACUCAUAAACCCUCCACCUUCAAACCUCCAUAUUAUUGCAGAAACAAGAUCCACUAACGAAUCCCUACCAAAAAUCAAAUAUCCAUCAAUCAAACAGAAAUAAAAUUGCCUCAACCGUGGCAAAGGGAAAGCACGAAAAAAAACGAUCAAAAAAGGAGAGAACAAAACAGCACCCGAAAUAUUAUUGAACACAACUACCUCCCAACAAUUAAUUGGAGAUGAAUGGAGUUCGAUCAAAAAAAUUGCAGAAACAUUUUCAUUUGGGAAGAAAAUUAGAAAGAAGAAAAGUUAUAGGGAGAGAAAAUAUACCGAAAUAAUUAUGAGUGGAGAGAGGUAGAGAGAGAGAGAACAUGUUGGUGGUUGCCUCUGUCCUUCUGUGUAUGGUCCUUUGCUC
rnacentral:lncRNA from 1 species